rnacentral:rRNA from 1 species
UACGGGGGGAGCAAGCGUUGGUCGGAUUUACUGGGCGUAAAGGGCGCGUAGGCGGCCAGCACAAGUCAGUUGUGAAAUCUCCGAGCUUAACUCGGAAAGGUCAACUGAUACUGUGCGGCUAGAGUGCGGAAGGGGCAACUGGAAUUCUUGGUGUAGCGGUGAAAUGCGUAGAUAUCAAGAGGAACACCUGCGGCGAAGGCGGGUUGCUGGGCCGACACUGACGCUGAGGCGCGAAAGCCAGGGGAGCGAACGGG